AGUGAGGAAUAUUGGACAAUGGAUGGAAAUCUGAUCCAGCCAUGCCGCGUGUGUGAAGAAGGCCUUUUGGUUGUAAAGCACUUUAAGCGAGGAGGAGGCUACUUAGAUUAAUACUCUAGGAUAGUGGACGUUACUCGCAGAAUAAGCACCGGCUAACUCUGUGCCAGCAGCCGCGGUAAUACAGAGGGUGCGAGCGUUAAUCGGAUUUACUGGGCGUAAAGCGUGCGUAGGCGGCUUUUUAAGUCGGAUGUGAAAUCCCUGAGCUUAACUUAGGAAUUGCAUUCGAUACUGGGAAGCUAGAGUAUGGGAGAGGAUGGUAGAAUUCCAGGUGUAGCGGUGAAAUGCGUAGAGAUCUGGAGGAAUACCGAUCGCGAAGGCAGCCAUCUGGCCUAAUACUGACGCUGAGGUACGAAAGCAUGGGGAGCAAACAGGAUUAGAUACCCUGGUAGUCCAUGCCGUAAACGAUGUCUACUAGCCGUUGGGGCCUUUGAGGCUUUAGUGGCGCAGCUAACGCGAUAAGUAGACCGCCUGGGAAGUACGGUCGCAAGACUA
rnacentral:rRNA from 1 species